rnacentral:rRNA from 1 species
GGACUAUUGCGCAAUGGUCGAAAGACUGACGCAGCGACGCCGCGUGUGGGAGGAAGCCCUUCGUGGUGUAAACCACUGUCAGGGGGGAAGAACCCUGGUUACGAAAACAUCGUCGCCAGCUGCCGGUACCCCCAGAGGAAGCCCCGGCUAACUCCGUGCCAGCAGCCGCGGUAAGACGGAGGGCGCAAGCGGUGUUCGGAAUUACUGGGCGUAAAGCGCAGGCAGGCGGUCUGUUAAGUCCUCUGUGAAACUCCGGGGCUCAACCCCGGACUUGCAGAAGAUACUGGCAGGCUAGAGAGUGGUAGAGGCAAGCGGAAUUCCUGGUGUAGCGGUGGAAUGCGUAGAUAUCAGGAAGAACACCUGUGGCGAAGGCGGCUUGCUGGGCCAUUUCUGACGCUCAUCUGCGAAAGCGUGGGGAGCAAAC